rfam:Pseudorhodobacter antarcticus strain CGMCC 1.10836 genome assembly, contig: Ga0079835_1009
GGUUCGGGAGCUUUUCGGUGGGACGAAAAGCAUGAAUGGAACCACAUAACCCCUAUCGCCGUGCGGCGCAUGACAGUGGCCCGACUGUUACGCG